rnacentral:rRNA from 2 species
UACGAACUGUGCAAACGUUAUUCGGAAUCACUGGGCUUAAAGGGUGCGUAGGCGGCUUGUUAAGUAGGGUGUGAAAUCCCAAGGCUCAACCUUGGAAUUGCGCCCUAAACUGGCGAGCUGGAGUGAGAUAGGGGUGUGUGGAACUUCCAGUGGAGCGGUGAAAUGUGUUGAUAUUGGAAGGAACGCCAGUGGCGAAAGCGACACACUGGGUCUCAACUGACGCUGAGGCACGAAAGCCAGGGGAGCAAACGGG